UACGAAGGGUGCAAGCGUUACUCGGAAUUACUGGGCGUAAAGCGUGCGUAGGGGGUUUGUUAAGUCUGAUGUGAAAGCCCUGGGCUCAACCUGGGAAUGGCAUUGGAUACUGGCGAGCUAGAGUGCGGUAGAGGGUAGUGGAAUUCCCGGUGUAGCAGUGAAAUGCGUAGAGAUCGGGAGGAACAUCUGUGGCGAAGGCGACUACCUGGACCAGCACUGACACUGAGGCACGAAAGCGUGGGGAGCAAACAGG
rnacentral:rRNA from 1 species